rnacentral:rRNA from 1 species
GAGUUUGAUCCUGGCUCAGAUUGAACGCUGGCGGAAUGCUUUACACAUGCAAGUCGAGCGGCAGCGCGGGGCAACCUGGCGGCGAGCGGCGAACGGGUGAGUAAUGCAUCGGAACAUGUCCAAGUCGUGGGGGAUAGCCCGGCGAAAGCCGGAUUAAUACCGCAUACGCCCGAGAGGGGAAAGCGGGGGACCGCAAGGCCUCGCGCGAUUGGGUUGGCCGAUGUCCGAUUAGCUAGUUGGCGGGGUAAGAGCCCACCAAGGCGAUGAUCGGUAGCUGGUCUGAGAGGAUGAUCAGCCACACUGGGACUGAGACACGGCCCAGACUCCUACGGGAGGCAGCAGUGGGGAAUUUUGGACAAUGGGGAAACCCUGAUCCAGCCAUUCCGCGUGAGUGAAGAAGGCCUCGGUUG